GACGAACGCUGGCGGCGGGCCUAACACAUGCAAGUCGAGCGAGAGGCGGACGGGUGAGUAAUGUCUGGGAAACUGCCUGCUGGAGGGGGCUAACUAAUGGAAACGGUAGCUAAUACCGCAUACCAUCAGAUGUGCCCAGAUGGGAUUAGCUAGUCGGUGGGGUAACGGCCCACCUAGGCGACGAUCCCUAGCUGGUCUGGGAGGAUGACCAGCCACACUGGAACUGAGACACGGUCCAGACUCCUACGGGAGGCAGCAGUGGGGAAUAUUGCACAAUGGGCGCAAGCCUGAUGCAGCCAUGCCGCGUGUGUGAAGAAGGCCUUCGGGUUGUAAAGCACUUUCAGCGGGGAGGCGUUACCCGCAGAAGAAGCACCGGCUAACUCCGUGCCAGCCGCCGCGGUAAUAC
rnacentral:rRNA from 1 species